rnacentral:rRNA from 1 species
UCCGGUUGAUCCUGCCGGAGGCUACCGCUAUUGGAGUUCGAUUAAGCCAUGCGAGUCGAGAGUCCUAGGGACUCGGCGUACCGCUCAGUAACACGUGGGUAACCUGCCCUAUGCUGGGGAAUAACCUCGGGAAACUGAGAAUAAUGCCCCAUAGUCCACCAUGCCUGGAACGGUUGGUGGAUCACAGCCCCGGCGGCAUAGGAUGGGCCUGCGGCGUAUCACGUUGUAGGGGGUGUAACGUACCCUCUAGCCAUCAACGCGUACGGGUGUUGGGAGACAUAGCCCGGAGAUGGAUUCUGAGACACGAAUCCAGACCCUACGGGGUGCAGCAGGCGCGAAAACUUGGCAAUGCGAGAAAUCGUGACCACGGAACUCCAAGUGGCUGGGGUAAGACCCAGUCUUUUCUUGACUCUUCAAAGGUCUUGGAAUAAGGGGUGGGUAAGCGACCGUGCCAGCCGGCGCGGUAGUACCGGCGCCUCCAGUGGUAGUCGAUUUCAUUGGGCCCUAAACGUCCGUAACCUGUUUGGUACAUACAUGGGUCAAUCACCAGCUCACUGGUUGAUUCUGC